UACGUAGGGGGCAAGCGUUGUCCGGAAUCAUUGGGCGUAAAGCGCGUGCAGGCGGCCCGGUAAGUCCGCUGUGAAAGUCGGGGGCUCAACCCUCGAAUGCCGGUGGAUACUGUCGGGCUAGAGUGCGGGAGAGGCGAGUGGAAUUCCUGGUGUAGCGGUGAAAUGCGCAGAUAUCAGGAGGAACACCAAUUGCGAAGGCAGCUCGCUGGAACGUAACUGACGCUGAGACGCGAAAGCGUGGGGAGCAAACAGG
rnacentral:rRNA from 1 species